UCAUCCUCAAAAACCAAUUUUAUAGAAAAAACUAAAAGGCUACACUCAGGACAGUAGUUAUUUCUGGAGAAAAUGGUCCACAGCAGACCUUAGCUAUGCUCGUAACAUUUCUCUGAAACUA